UCUACCUGCCAGUUCAGAGACUGUUUGUGCUUCCCCUUCCCUCUCUCUCGUAUGUGCACACUAGCACAGAGGGAUAGAGGAACGAUCCAUAGCUAUCAACAGGCCAAUGCAAGUGCAACCCCAAGCUCUCUCCCGCCAGCCAUCAGCAUGCACACUUCACCUUAAAGCUCAUUUACAAAGUGGCAGCUUCAUAGGCAGAAACUUGGCCUUCAAUGAUGCACCCUGUUACCCUGGCCCAGCUUGUCCUGGGAUGUGUUGAUUCCCGACCUGCGUCUUAAUGAGUUGUCUUGAGCGCCCCUAAUGUGAGGUGAAUGGAGAUGUCUGCAGGCUCUCACUUUGGCCCUAAUGAAACACAAGACAUGACAAAGUAAUUGCAGGAGGCCAAUGAAGAGUGCCACUAUUUGUCGUCCUGACGGAAACAGCUGUUGCCAACAAUGGUGCCAAGCAACAGAAUUGACAGAAAACCUCAUAGUGGUGGCCAUGGCCGUGUGCUGACCGACCAGCAGGAGUGGGCAGUGGUGUAAAUGGUGAGGGGCAGGAAUGAUAUAAGGCUGUUGGAAAUAAAGCAGGCAUUUGAGAAGAACAAUGACACCUUUGCCAAUGUGGCAUCCAUCAGCCUACCAACAGUAGCCCGCCUUUUGAAAAGACAACAGGUAUCAAUGAAACACAUUUACCUGGUACCUUUUGUGAGAAACAAUGACCAGGUGAAACAACUGAGGGCUGAGUAUGUUCAGGUACAGCACUAUAUACUGUAUUACUGUUACUAUUUGAUGCAUCGCCUACUUCAUAUGUAUAUUGGAACUACACUGUAAAAAGAACUAACCAAAAUAUAUUUUUUAGAGGGUGAUGGUGCUUGAUGCUGAUGUGAACCAUCACAAGUAAAUUUUUGUUGAUGAAGUGGGCUUUAACCUGGCCAAAACUCGUCGCCGUGGACGGAAACUCAUCGGCCAACGGGCCACUGUCCAAGUGCCUGGACAACAUGGAGGAAACAUCUCCAUGUGCGCAGCUAUCUCUGAAGAUGGUGUGGUAAGACGUAGGCCAUUACUUGGCUCCUACAACGCUGCACAUCUCAUUGAGUUGCUCAAUGAAUUUGAGCCAGCCAGUCAAGGUGAAGGGGUCACCUAUGUAAUUGUGUGGGACAGUGUCAGGUUCCACCAUGCAGAGGUGGUUCAAGCAUGGUUUCAGGCCCAUCCCCGAUUCAUGACCCUCUACCUGCCCCCAUACUCUCCUUUCCUCAACCCUAUUGAGGAAUUUUUUUCAGCAUGGAGGUGGAAGGUCUAUUAUCACCAACCCCUUGAGCACGCCACCCUCCUUCAGGCCAUGGAUGUGGCAUGUGAUGACAUCAGUGUAGACCAAUGUCAAGCAUGGAUUCGCCAUGUCAAAAAGUUUUUCCCAAGGUGCAUGAACAAUGAUGACAUUCAUUGUGAUGUGGACGAGAAUCUAUGGCCAAAUGCUCAAGACAGGCUUGAUCCAAAUUAAUGUAAUGUGUGCUAAAUGUUAUGUUUUGUUUUCAUUUACUUAAUUUGUUUUAUUUAACUGUGUACAUUUGAUUAUAGAGAGUAUACCUAUGUUACAAUUUGUAUCUGAAAAACACAAUUUGCCCAAAUGAUUGAAGAGGAUGUCUUCAUUGAUCACAACUUGAUUACUCAUAGGAUAGAUAUUAUGGAAAUGAUAGAUUCUGUAAAUGCUGGGUAAUGUAAGUGUAUUGCCUAAUGUGACAACUGUGUAAUCUGUCUUUUACAGUACUGUAGCAUAUUACUUUCAGCACUUCUAAGAGCGAUUUGAAAC